GUUUUCGUAGUGUAGUGGUUAUCACGUGUGCUUCACACGCACAAGGUCCCCGGUUCGAACCCGGGCGGAAACA
rfam:Glossina palpalis gambiensis isolate 146720 unplaced genomic scaffold Scaffold123, whole genome shotgun sequence.